AUAUGUGACAUUGAGAUCCAUGGGCUACCCAUGAAAUCUCUUCCUUUUUCUCUCAAUCUCAGAGUUACGGCUUUAUAAGCCAAACCCCAUCUCUCACUUUUUUUAGUUUUCUCUUACAAAGAGAUUUCAACUUUCCCUCUCGUUAUAAUUUCCUCAAAAAAAUAUGGAGGAAAAAGAAAAGGUUCCAGAGAAAAAAGCAAUACACAACCUUCCACACGAUCAACCAGCACUGAUGGAUGGGAUUAUGAUGAUGAAGGUGAAGCAAGUACUGCUGAAGAAUGAAUUCCAAUUCGGUGCAGCUGCCACCUCCAUUGCCACUUGUUCAUCUUAAUUUGGUGCUAUCCUACCUGAGCUUCUUUUUUUAUUUUAAUUUCUUAGUAUUUUUUUCUUUCUUUUUUAAAUAUAAAAUAUUAAUCUUCUUGACCUUGUAAGACCUUUUCUUGACCUUGUAAGACCCAGUCCAGUAUUUCCAACUCUUCUUCUCCUUCCUUGUCUAUCCCUCCUGAGCUGUUUGUAACUUUGAAAUGGUCAAAUCAUAUGCCAAUUCCUUUUCUAGGUUUUCUUUAAUAUUCUUUUUGCAUAUCUUUGGGAAUGAAAUGGUGAAAAUCUCUUAA